rnacentral:lncRNA from 1 species
GUUUUUUUUGCUAUUUACCCAAAAAAUUAUGCUUCUCCAACUCAUAUACAUGAAAAGUUAUUGUUUACUUAUGGAAAUCAUUACAAUUAUAUUAUACCUAAUUAACUAAUUAACUGGUCAUUUGUGUCAGCGUGACAUUUGUAAAAUUAAAAUUCGACUAAAAGUUAGAGUAUAUUACAAAAAAGUGUCUUUGUUGUCAUCUGAAAAUUAUGAACCAAACAGUCCUCUUUAUGUUUCAACUUAAAUCAAUUUGUCUUUGAUGCUACAAGUGCUCCUUUUUCAUCCGCUAAUUUGUCUUUGGUACUAAAACUUCGAAGAAACUAAUUUGUUCUUUGAUUCUUGCAAAAACUAACACAAAUUGAUCGAUCAUUCCUCAAAUUAAAACAAACAAGAGUUAAUUAAUUAAGCUUACUCCAACAUUUUGUACUCAUGGCCUGGGUUCCUUAUCAGAUCAAUAGAAUGUUUCACAAGAACAACAUGACACAUCAAACCAAGUCUUCCAUGAACCUUAAGCUUCGUAAUAUCAACACCUAAUCAGAAAUAGAAUUUUAAACAAAUUAAAAACAAAAGCAUAAAUUAAAAAUCUAUCAAAACUAACAAUAUCCGUUAGAGGCCAUAUACCUAUUGUUAGAAUUACACAAACAAUCAUCAUUGCGCUCUAGAAAAUCUAUAACGACUUGCAUUUAAUUUUUAAUCCUAUCUGAAAAUCAAAGUUUUUCUUGACAAAUAUUUUUCUUCCGAUCUGAUUGAACAAUUAAUUUUGUGUGCAAGUGUUUCUUAUGAAGAUUUACCUUGAACUAUGUGAACCUCCACAAUCAAAUUGAAGUAAAAUAUUACAGUUACGCAUGGACUUUUUUUUUUUUUUUUUUGAUGAUAACAUAACCAAUAGUACGUCUCACAUUUUGCAUCCAUAUUUUUUACGAGUUUCGAACAUUUGAAAAUUAUAUUAUUAAUAAAAAGACAUAAAUUUACUGGAUAAUAACCUUGCUAAAGCAGUACGUAUACUAAUGAAAUGAAAUUUAUACAUAUAAGUUAAUGUCAACGUCGUAACAAAAUAAUUAAUUUCAUUAAAGCAAAUCGUUUAUUUUUAUUACAUUCAGUUGUGUUUGAUUGUGUAAUAUCAUUUGUUUAAAAUAAACAUAUAGAAAAAUUAAAUUUAAUAGAAGCCAAAAAACAGUAUGAAAAUGAUAAGUAAAAAUACCUCUGAUCCAUCAUAAACUCCAAUCUGUUCUUCCCAACUUUUGCCAUUUGUACCUCUCACAUUUGUUCUUCCCACCUUGCAAUUACUUUUACAAUGACAAUGAA